AACGGUUCCAGAAACGGUUGAACUUGCAGUUCUCAUUAAUUAGGGUCUGGUUUGAGAGCGUAAACCAGAGAUAGUCAUCAUGGUGACUGCUCUGCUUUCACAAAUCAUUUUGUGCAUCAUGCUUACAGUGUGAGUGCAAUUUUUUUUAAUCGUGCUAAUUUAAAAAUAUUGAUACAGUCAAACACUCGUCAAGCAGUGAAAAGGAAAAAUAACUGAACUUGUGUCACUGAGUCGGUGACUUUUUGGUGUUUGUGUGAUUUGUGUAUUUAUGAGCGGUUAAUAGUAAUAAAUGAUCCUUGUCUCACCCCUUUGGGCACAAACUGUAUAAAUCCAAACCCCUGGAUAAACACGAACAAGCUCUAAGCUUCUGGGAGUUUGGGAAGUCCACUCAUUUGUUUUACACUUCAUUAAUUAACUGUUCCCUCGAACGACGAGCCAACAAGCUCACGUGUCUACGUCUUAACAUUUUAAUGAAUGAGCUGGAUCUGGACCAGAAGCAGAAGUAUUUUACAAGUUUCCAAACUUUUCAUCCUAUUUCAGAAAAAUGAAACCCUCCUCACCCUAAACCAUUUGAGAUAAAGUGACUUGCGAAGUUGCUAAACAGAUGAGAUGUCAAAAUAUUUCAUAAUUCAAAUACCUUUCUAUCAACAUAAGCAGAAAUGCCUGUUGGUUUGAAGGCAUAAUGCAAAGUAUUUAAAAACUAAUAAAUGCAGUGACCAUCUUAUAUUAGUCAGAGAAUGAACGGGUU